UGGGGAAUUUUGCACAAUGGGGGAAACCCUGAUGCAGCGACGCCGCGUGAUUUAGAAGGCCUUCGGGUUGUAAAAAUCUUUUUUACGGGAUGAAAAUGACAGUACCGUAAGAAUAAGGUCCGGCUAAAUACGUGCCAGCAGCCGCGGUAAUACGUAUGGACCGAGCGUUGUCCGGAAUCAUUGGGCGUAAAGGGUACGUAGGCGGCCUAGUAAGUUAGAAGUGAAAUAAUAUAGCUCAACUAUAUAAAGCUUUUAAAACUGCUAGGCUUGAGAGAUGGAAGGGAAAGUGGAAUUCCUAGUGUAGCGGUGAAAUGCGCAGAUAUUAGGAAGAAUACCGGUGGCGAAGGCGACUUUCUGGUCAUCAUCUGACGCUGGGGUACGAAAGCGUGGGUAGCAAACAGG
rnacentral:rRNA from 1 species